rnacentral:rRNA from 1 species
AUUGAACGCUGGCGGCGUGCUUAACACAUGCAAGUCGUACGAGAACUCUUCAGCUUGCUGAAGAUAGUAAAGUGGCGCACGGGUGAGUAAGGCGUAGGUAAUUUGCCUUUAAGUCUGGGACAACACUGCGAAAGCGGUGCUAAUACCGGAUAAUAUCUGUUAGGCUCCGGCUUUUCAGAUCAAAGGUGGCCUCUACAUGUAAGCCUCUGCUUAGAGAAAAGCCUGCGUACCAUUAGCUUGUUGGUGGGGUAACGGCUCACCAAGGCGACGAUGGUUAGCUGGUCUGAGAGGAUGGCCAGCCACACUGGAACUGAGAUACGGUCCAGACUCCUACGGGUGGCAG